rnacentral:rRNA from 1 species
AUACGGAGGAUGCGAGCGUUAUCCGGAUUUAUUGGGUUUAAAGGGAGCGUAGGCGGGAGCUUAAGUCAGCGGUUAAAUGGUGCGGCUCAACCGUGCCCUGCCGUUGAAACUGGGUUUCUUGAGAGUGCAAGAGGCGGAUGGAAUUCAUGGGGUAGGGGUGAAAUGCUUAGAUAUCAUGAAGAACUCCGAUUGCGAAGGCAGUCCGCUGGGGCACGUCUGACGCUGAUGCUCGAAGGUGCGGGAAUCAAACAGGAUUAGAUACCCUGGUAGUCCGCACGGUAAACGAUGAUUACCCGCUGUCGGCGGUAGACAGUCGGCGGCCAAGCGAAAGCGAUAAGUAAUCCACCUGGGGAGUACGCCGGCAACGGUGAAACUCAAAGGAAUUGACGGG